AGCGGGAACUGCAGGGCUAUAACUGGACAGCUACCUGGUCAAGAAGUGAGAGCUCCAGAGUGCAGGACGUCUGUGGGCUGCAUGGUGUCCACCAUGUAGAAUGACGCCCAUGAUCCCAUGAGACAUACGAAGUUGAUAUCCAGGUCCAAGGACCUGGGAUGGGUGCACAGGGAUCCCGCACGUCCUGGCAUUGCAUGCCAAGUCCUUACCCAAAGCUAGGCGAGCUGCAGGCUAUCUAGAAAGGCUUAGUUAGCUCGAGGACACACUUUCUGUUGAUGGUGAACAGUAUUAGUGCAACCAAUGAACAGACUCCACAAGCUGAGCUGUCUCCAGUACUACAUGGGACCUUACAACGUGACAACCGGGAUAGAGCUGGACGGUGGCUGUAU
rnacentral:lncRNA from 1 species